UAAAUCUGGCCUAAUGGAUAAGGCAUCAGCCUCUAGUGCUGGGGAUUGUGGGUUCAAAUCCCACCUGGGUUGAG